GCCGUGGUGGUUCAGUGGUAGAACUUUUGCCUUCCACGCAGGAGACCCAGAUUCUAUCCCCGGCA
rnacentral:tRNA from 1 species